rnacentral:rRNA from 1 species
CAGCAGCCGCGGUAAUACGCAGGUCCCGAGCGUUGUCCGGAUUUAUUGGGCGUAAAGCGAGCGCAGGCGGUUAGAUAAGUCUGAAGUUAAAGGCUGUGGCUUAACCAUAGUACGCUUUGGAAACUGUUUAACUUGAGUGCAAGAGGGGAGAGUGGAAUUCCAUGUGUAGCGGUGAAAUGCGUAGAUAUAUGGAGGAACACCGGUGGCGAAAGCGGCUCUCUGGUUUGUAACUGACGCUGAGGCUCGAAAGCGUGGGGAGCAAACAGGAUUAGAUACCCGAGUAGUCCCUGUCUCUUAUACC